rnacentral:rRNA from 1 species
UACGAAGGGGGCUAGCGUUGCUCGGAAUCACUGGGCUUAAAGCGUGUGUAGGCGGACCCCUAAGUACCUUGUGAAAUCCCACGGCUCACCCGUGGAACCGCUGGGUAUACUGGGGGUCUUGGGCCACUCAGGGGCGACUGGAACAAGCGGUGGAGCGGUGAAAUGCGUAGAUAUCGCUUGGAACGCCGAAGGUGAAAACAGGUCGCUGGGAGUGCGCCGACGCUGAGACACGAAAGCCAGGGGAGCAAACGGG